rnacentral:lncRNA from 1 species
UUACUUUUAUCUAUAUAUCAAACGAAUGGUGGAGAAGAGUUGUCAGCACUAUCUAUUUAAUUUCAUAUCUUUCUUUUUCUUCUUUCCAAUAUUUCUCUCUUUUCUUUUUAGAUGUACUUUCUUGUGCAAAAGAACCACCGUGAAACUCUUGGUUCCACCGUAACUGCUGCAAAUCCUUGCACCACCACUGUCCGUACAUCUUUCACCGCUGCUACCGCAACUCCUUCGCCGCUGCUACCGCAACUCCUUCACCGCUGCUACCCCCAACUUCUUCACUGCUACUGCCGUAACUCCUUCACCGCUGCUACCCCCAACUUCUUCACCGCUGCUGCCGCAACUCCUUGCACCGCCACGCCUCUUUCUUUGCAUCCAACCACCGCAACUCCUUGCACGACCACCGCUACAACUCUGUCUACCACUACUUCAAUUCCGCUCACUUCUCAUCCGCUACCACCACCGUUGCAUCA